GGCACUUGGCUCCUGCAAUUCAUCAAUGGUCCAGCAUCAAUAUAAUGAAGGGGACCCAGAUGAUAUAAUACAGAACCUUCUCACCCACCUUUCUGGCCAUGAAGACUACCACUCCUUUAGUGAGGACCCAGAGCAGCUGAUCCCCAUGGAGAUGAGGAAUCAAGAGUGGAGCUUCCAUCUAUAAAGGAAGGUUCCCACUGUGGCUGUUGAAGUUGCAAAGGACACUUGGCUCCUGCAAUCCAUCAGUGGUCCAGCAUCUGUUUGUUGGGGAGUCCCAGAUGAUACAACAUAGGUAAGGGAAGGAUAUGAGUAAAAAGAUAUCUACAUGAUGUGUGGCGAAGGCUUCAGUGCU